rnacentral:rRNA from 1 species
GAUUAAGCCAUGCAUGUGUAAGUAUAAAUAGUUAACUUUGAAACUGCGAAUGGCUCAUUAUAUCAGUUAUAGUUUAUUUGAUGAAGAAUACUAAUUGGUAGUAAUUCUAGAGCUAAUACAUGUAUAAAGUCUUGUAGACUGCAUUUAUUAGAAUGAAAACCAUAGGUUUCGGCCUAUUCGUGAGUAAUAAUAACUAAUCAUAUCGUAUGCUUAUGUAACGAUGUGUCUUUCAAGUUUCUGCCCUAUCAGCUUUCGAUGGUAGUGUAUUGGACUACCAUGGCAGUAACGGGUAACGAAGA